rnacentral:tRNA from 1 species
GUGGGUAUAGCUCAGUGGUAGAGUCCAUGCUUAGCAUGCACAACGUCCUGAGUUCAAUCCCCAGUACUCCCA